GCAGAGUCGUCCUCAAUGCGCAAAUGCAGACCGCGGGCUGUUGUUCACUGGACAGCAGCGGACUUAGCGGGCGGGCAGGUGAGGUCAAAAGACUCUUUACUCAGAAGCCCUUCGGUGUUUCAUGCAGCUGCAGAAUUCUCGAGCUGGUCACAAAAACAAAUCAGUGCGCACUGAAUGUCAGCGACAGAGGGGCUGCGAUGAGCUGCAGAAACGACGGACGAGCAGAGAUCACCAACCAGGCGGACGACUGAAAAGCCCGAGAUGGUCUGAACGUCUACUGUGUCCACGGUGACGGGGAAGGGAGCGUUGGGAGGCAGAGGAGAAGAAGAAAGCGCGGGAGGCAUGUUGGCGGUUGGAUAACAAUGGGAAAGGACAAAGCGAAUGAUCCUGCGCUGAGAUGUGUGAAGUGGGGGAGGAAGCAAAACCAAAAUCGCAGAAAAGGACAAUGACACAGAGGCACGAGAGGUGCGGAGGUGGUAUGUCAGCCAGCAGCAGAGAGAACAAGGGUGUUGUGUAUUUUUAUGCCCGGCCAACGGGUGAUUUCUGCUAGGUUGUUGUACUUGAUGGUCCAUGAAGAACAACAGCUCGAUAGAAAGGUUCCACAUUCGACUCACUGAGAGCAUUAGUGCUAUUUUGAGAUUUAUUGCACUGGAUGUUUUCCAAUUGUGGAGCACUCCUGCAAAAGAACAUUUAACUAAAACUAACAAUGAUAUUUGGACAGGUGAAUUCAAGAUUGGAAUUGGUAUUGUCCAGCGACACAACCUAUAAUGUCUCUUAAAAAAGAAAAUAUGUGCAGGUUAGUAGGAGUAGUAAGCAACGUAAAGAGGGUUUUUAAAAAGC
ensembl:lncRNA